CCCUUAGAUGUUCUGGGCUGCACGCGCGCUACACUGAUGCAUCCAGCGAGUUGUAACCUUGCUUGGUAAAGUUUGGUAAUCUGAGCCUAAUGUGCAUCGUGAUGGGAAUAGAGUUUUGCAACUAUUAGUCUUGAACGAGGAAUUCCUCGUAAGCACGAGUCAUCAGCUUGUGCUGAUUACGUCCCUGCCCUUUGUACACACCGCCCGUCGCACCUACCGAUUGAAUGGUCCGGUGAAGCCUCCGGAUUGCGCGGCUUCGGCUGUCGCGAGAAGUUGGCUAAACCUUACCAUUUAGAGGAAGGUGAAGUCGUANCA
rnacentral:rRNA from 1 species